GUGCCGGGAAGCAGGCUGAGAAUGAAGAGUGAGAUCUACCAUGCAUUGUCUCAGAAAGAGGCAAAAGACUCCAAUGUCCAGCAUCUACAGGUGCAAAGCUGAAGCAGACAGACUUUCUGCCAGCAUAUGUCUUCAGGUGCACAGCGGGCCUUCCUGAAGCACAGCACGCCUUGCAUGAGCCUGCAGGCCAGCGAGGACCAGCUGCAGCGCAAGGCCGAGGUCCUGUAGCACUUCACCUGCCGCAGGUGCAAGGAGAGGAAGAAGAAAGCCAAAGCCCUCUCUGCCAAGCAAAGGAGGGAGCUGCGGCUCUUUGACAUUAAAUCAGAGCAACAGAGAUACGGUCUUUUUCUCCCUCUCCAUGAACUCUGGAAACAGUACGUCAGGGACCUGUGCAAUGGGCUUAAGCCAAACACACAGCCACAGAUAAUUCAGGCCAAGCUGUUAAAGGCAGAUCUUCACGGGGCUAUUAUUUCAGUGGCAAAAUCCAAAUGCCCCUCUUAUGUGGGUAUUACAGAAUCCUUCUACAAGAAACAAAACAUAUUUUCAAAAUUAUCACCAAAGAAGACCGCCUGAAAGUUAUCCCCAAGUUAAACUGUGUAUUCACUGCAGAAAUUGAUGGCUUUAUUUCCUACAUUUAUGGGAGCAAAUUCCAGCUUCGGUCAAGUGAAUGGUCUGCAAAGAAGUUCAAAGCGAAGGGAACGAUUGACUCGUGAAUGCUUUGCCAUCUAAGGCAGUUGUCUAUGACAGCUGAAAACUGAAACUCCCUCAAUGCCCACCUUUCAGUGAAGAGAUUGCUAAGCCAAUUCCGGUUAGAGACCACCUCCAGCCAGUGGAGCUCCGGGUUGAAGAUGUUGAGGAAUAUGGGAAGGUCGCAGUGUACUGAGUGAAGAAGUCAGGGGAUGGAGGAAUUUCUCUUUCUAGGAGAUCUUAAUUGCGUAUGACUCCCAUAGGGAGGAACAGACUGACAGGAAACACACCAGGGUUAACACUGGUUGACUUCAAUUUAAAAAUUCUUUUUCAUGAAAAAUAAUAAUAAUA